UUUUAGUCCAUUAGAUCAAGGUUCAUUCAUAUUGCUUAGCAUUUGAGCAAGUAACAUAAAUCAUUGUUUCAUUUAAACCAAGUCAUUAUUCACUCAAAACCUCUUUUACAUUGCAUUUCAUCAAGUCAUCAAAUACAAGUCCUUACAUUUACAUCAUACAAUAAGAAAACUCUAGUUUCUAACCUACAAUUGACGUUAGUCAAUUGUACACCUUUUUGUCAACUAGUUGACCAAAAUCAACCAUUUCUCCCUAAGGUCCUUAAGUCACCAUCUUGAUCUUCAAGCCUUGAUAUCACAAUCCUCAAGUGUCUAUGCCAAACAAAACCUACAAAAGAACCAUCCCAUACAAUUAGGUCACCAAACAUUUUUUUCAAUACACUUCUUAACACAAAUCAAGCUAAGUAAUUGAAGCUCUAAUACUCAUUGAAAACAUAAAAUUUUCCAAUUAGCCCAUGGCCUCAAUUUAACCUAACAUGACAUUACCAUUUGAUUAAUAAAACAAGUGCAUCAUUAACCUAGCUUAAUCCAUAAUCCAAUUUUCAAAAGAUCCUAUCAUUCAUUACAUAAUCCAACCAUUUAAAAUUGGCAUCUCAUACAUAAUUCAAACCAUUCCCAUGUACACAAUCCAAACAGUCCAAAUAGCAUCCUUCAAUAAACCACAUCCAAACUUCUCAUUACAAAUCAAUAACACAUUUCCUUAUAUUCAAAUUAUCAAACCAUUUCAUUCUACAAUUCAACCAAGCAAGCCAUACAUAUUCAAACAUACAAAUAUUCAUAACGCUCCAUUCCAUAAAUCCACAUUCCAUAACAUUUGUGUCCAACAAGUAGCAUAAUUAAUUUAACUUGCCAAGCAUAGACAAUGAUACCAUAACAGAAGGAACCCAAAACAGUUCAUACACAGCCUUUAGGUGUUUCUAACAACUUAACAUAGCCAUUGAAAAAAGCAUAACAAUUGAAACACAUACACCUGCAAAAUUCCUUCUAACAAGGCAUGGACAAGACUCUUCAUAACUAACGACUCCCACUUGCAAAUUGAUUCUAACAGGCAAAAACAAUUAAUAGAAAAACCAGCAAAAACAAUUUCACACUGCACAUUUCUUCAACAGGACGUCAGUUGGAAGUUCCUUCAUAACUAACGCAUCUACCCUGCAAUUUUGGUUUAACAGAACAAAUGAGAGUCCACAAUAACUAACCUAGAUGAACACACAGAAUCCUAAUUAACACUAUAACAGAUUUUCUAAUUUCUAACUAACUCGACGUGCAUUUCAGAUGGAUUUGGAUUUGCAUUUCUAACUGAACUUGAGAACCAAAACUCUAUAAAUACAUAUCACUCUCCACUCAUUCAAAGGGCAGCAAUCACAAAAUCACAAAUCAUGAAUCAAAUCACCAUUCUUGCAUCAAUGCAAUUCUCGGAAGCACUCUUCACUCUCAUUGAUUCUUCAGAACUCUCAGAUUUCACCUCCCUCAAUCCCUCACGCAACAACUUACCACGAUUCAAGCAACAACUUCGCAAGCGUAACAAAACUUGUAAACAGAAAGGGGAGAAGAAAGAGUGAAUUGAAGCAAAGCAAGGAGGAAGAAAAGAUUCGAUAUCUGUUGUCACCGGUAGCCACCGCGUCGGAGCUCCGUUUCAGUAGGUCAUUCUUCUCCUUCUUGUUCAUCGUUUAUGCGCAUUGAUUUGAGUGGAUGAAUUCGAUUUUGGGUUCAGAGUUGUUUUCUUCUUGAUUGUUGCGUUUGAACGUGAGAGCUUGAGAACACGUGAAAAUGGUGAAAUGAGUUUGUUCAAUUGUUCAUACGCUGAUGCUUAGUCUCGAUGCGUGUUGUGUCAAC
rnacentral:lncRNA from 1 species